rnacentral:rRNA from 1 species
UGGGGAAUUUUGGACAAUGGGCGAAAGCCUGAUCCAGCAAUGCCGCGUGUGUGAAGAAGGCCUUCGGGUUGUAAAGCACUUUUGUCCGGAAAGAAAUGGCUCUGGUUAAUACCUGGGGUCGAUGACGGUACCGGAAGAAUAAGCACCGGCUAACUACGUGCCAGCAGCCGCGGUAAUACGUAGGGUGCAAGCGUUAAUCGGAAUUACUGGGCGUAAAGCGUGCGCAGGCGGUUAUGCAAGACAGAGGUGAAAUCCCCGGGCUCAACCUGGGAACUGCCUUUGUGACUGCAUAGCUAGAGUACGGUAGAGGGGGAUGGAAUUCCGCGUGUAGCAGUGAAAUGCGUAGAUAUGCGGAGGAACACCGAUGGCGAAGGCAAUCCCCUGGACCUGUACUGACGCUCAUGCACGAAAGCGUGGGGAGCAAACAGGAUUAGAUACCCUGGUAGUCCACGCCCUAAACGAUGUCAACUGGUUGUUGGGAGGGUUUCUUCUCAGUAACGUAGCUAACGCGUGAAGUUGACCGCCUGGGGAGUACGGCCGCAAGGUUGA